ACUAUUGCGCCACUAAAUGGGACAUGGAAAAUCAAGGUGUCGGAACGCAUUUUUGGCUUGAACAAACAUAUUUUGAUGAUGAGGAAAUUGGACAUUGGAAACUGAGCAAGAAAUCAGUCAAACAUUAUGGCAUUUGACGAAAGUUGGUAAUACAGACUCUUCCGGUUUGUAAUCAAUGUGCUGUAAAGAAUAUGAUCAGGAUGUGAGAGGAGGAGGAGAGACUCCCAUUUGGAGUGUCAGAAAGUCAUAUAAGAGGCAAUUAUCUCUACAUGAGGGGUUAUCGUUUUGAGAGGGAGUAAGAUAUGAAGUGCCGUGAAAGUAUGUGACCUCCACUCUGUUGUAUUUAAGUCAGUAACAUUUGGAAGACUGGAGAGAACAGUCUGGACCUUCCCUACAUGCAGCAUGCAUUAAAGAGAUCUGAUUCAUCACACUGAGUCUAACAUUCUUAAGAUAUAAGAUAAUCCUUAUAGGUGAGUAAGAAAUUGAAAGGAAGUGACUUAUGCAAACCUGAUAAAGGGUAAUACAAUGAAAAUAAUAGCAUAUAAUAGGAAGAAAAUAUAAUAUGAUACAAUAUGAGAUACUGUAAUAAUGAUAUGAUACAGUACAGUAUUACAUGAGGCCCCACUACAAUAAAAUGGGUGUAUGAGUGAAAAUAAAUAUAUGAAAUAAGUAUAAAGAAUAAACUUUGUGGUGACAUUCAGUGACUAGUAUACAGCCUGUAUACUACAGGGGUGCGUUGCUCGGAACGAAUGUGUCAUACAAACCAAAAAGUUACCCAAAGUUAGUGUGUGGUUGAUGAGAUCCAUCCAUACACUGUAUGGGAAGAGCAGAAUGAUUGUGAAAUUUGUUUGAAUGAUAAGUCCAUUGAAAGUUUAAGCACAUCUGUCCCAGUGAGUCAGCUGAAAACAUAAGGAACAAAACCGGAAAUUUAUAAGCUCUAUCUGACCCUCUUACAGGCUCUGCUGAAAUAAUGGCAGACAAAUGGGGAAAUAAUGUGGUUAAAAAUGUUCAACUUUGGCACUGUGUCACCCAUGGGGUGCUUCCAGUAAAAGGCACAUUAAGCACAGAAUGUUUAAGAUAGUGUAAAAUAUGUUAAAAGAAAAGGUAACAGGAAAGCAGGAAAGAAAAAAAGGUAGACUGACAAGUUUUUAAAAUCAGUAGUGGGACUGAAACGGUAAUGGGAAAAUAGAGUUUGAGUAACAUAAAGAAGAAACAAUGUAGGGCCAGAAUUAGGAAUUGACCUCCUCCAUGCUGUCUCCACACCUACAACCCUCCUUUAAACAAUACCUUCUCCACACAAGGUCAGGCAUCCCAGGAUGACUCUGUGAAGGAGGGAGGAGGAUAACCAGUACACCCUGUCUUUUCAGCCCUCUUUCUCUCUUCUAAAAUGAGUCACAAAUUAACCUUGCUUCUCCAAAAAAGCCUUUUUCUCCACCAGCCAGCUUCUACUGACUACUGACUGCGGAGUCGAGAUCACUGAGGGGAUGAUGUUCCCCGACCCCGUGCUGAGGCAAACAAGGAAGCAGACUGUCAUUGAGAUCCAGAAGUGUUUUAUACACAGGCCAUGUCAGCCAAACAAAUUGAAGGAGGCUACAGAGGUAUCACCUGACACAAAGACUGGAGUCGGGUGGGCCACAGAGUCCUGGACAAAGAUGGCAGGCACUGCACAACAGCCAGAGGAAAAGGAGACUGGGCCCGUAUCAAAUUAUCAAGGAAAGUGCAACAGCACUGACCAGAUAAGCUAUGCUGCAGAAGUAAGGUUAUGGGAACCCCGAGCUUAAUCAUCAAGAAGGGAGAGAUCCAGAGGAAUCCUGACCACAUGCACCAGCUAAAGGUGUCUGUUCAUUUCCCAGGAUUCACCUUGACACAGCCAAAGGAGACAGCAGAGAUGGAUCCUGCUUCAGAGACGUGACAAGCAACAACACAGGUUAAGAAAUUGUACAGUUGCUGCCAGAUGAUAUAUUUACCACAGUCCAAACAAUCUAUCUUGCCCAACCAUGCUCAGCACAGCUUGCAGAAAUUAAAGCUUUUAACUGCCGCAAAGCAAAUUAUCAGAAGGCAAGCGGUUAAAUGUAUACUCACAGUGGGCUAUGCAUACGCAGUGUGUCAUAUAUAUGGAAAUAUCUGGAAACAGAGAGGUUUUCUCAGAGCGGAAUGGCACACCAGUAAUGCAUGGAGCAGCCAUCUUAACACUAAUUCAAGCAUUCAUCUAUCAAGUGUAUCAGCUAUUAUCAAGUGUGCUGCUCACCAAAAAAGCAGUUCCCUAAUAGCCAAACGCAAUAGCCUGGCUGACGAGGCCACUAAACAAGCUGAAACCGGUACAUGUGUUGGACGGUUGAAGGCAGCCGAAAACUGUGAACCACUCACCACUUUACCAUCCUUAAUAGCAGCCCAGAAGGAGGCUGACAUACGUACAGUUAGUGUGGUUAAAACGUGGUGAUAUUAAAACCACUCAAGAAGACCACCAGAAAGGUUUAUGGUGUAAGCACAGUAGAUAAAACUUUAGCAGAAUGUUUGUGCAAACAAUACUCUGAGGAAAGCCUUUCCUGCUGCAAAAUUAUACAAAUUAUACAAAUGUGUUUGCCAGAGUGCAUGAAUUCUGAUAACGAGUCAUCUUUUGAUAGAGAUAAAGAUUAAACUAGGAGUUUGAGACCAUGGACUUCUGAAAAUAAAGACAGUUCAGGCUAAAAAGGGCAGAGACUAUCCAGGGUGGAAAAAAAAAAAAAAAGAGCACUCUUCAAUUUGGGCUAAGAGAAAAGAAAAGGGUAUUUGUAGGACAGAGAAAUGCAGGUUAAAAUACAGCCUUAAGUCCAUGGACGGCAAACAUCGGAUAAAUAAUCAAAAAGCAAGGUAAAUUAAAGUCUAAAUUAAAGGAAAUGUGAGAAUAAUGCAUGCGAGAACCAAAACUGAAAAAAACACACA